rnacentral:rRNA from 1 species
AUUGAACGCUGGCGGCAGGCCUAACACAUGCAAGUCGAACGGUAACAGGAAGAAGCUUGCUUCUUUGCUGACGAGUGGCGGACGGGUGAGUAAUGUCUGGGAAAAUGGCCUUGAUGGAGGGGGAUAACUACUGGAAACGGUAGCUAAUACCGCAUAACGUCGCAAAGACCAAAGAGGGGGACCUUCGGGCCUCUUGCCAUCGGAUGUGCCCAGAUGGGAUUAGCUAGUAGGUGGGGUAACGGCUCACCUAGGCGACGAUCCCUAGCUGGUCUGAGAGGAUGACCAGCCACACUGGAACUGAGACACGGUCCAGACUCCUACGGGAGGCAGCAGUGGGGAAUAUUGCACAAUGGGCGCAAGCCUGAUGCAGCCAUGCCGCGUGUAUGAAGAAGGCCUUCGGGUUGUAAAGUACUUUCAGCGGGGAGGA